CACAAACUUGACCUCUCACCUCCCACAAUAAACUGUUCUUUCUUCAUUUUACCCUCUGUGGCAUCACGCCUCAGGCAGGUGACUUCCAUGUGCUCUCCAGCUGCUAUACUGCUCUCAUGCAGGCCUUGAAAAUCUCAGCUGCUGUUUGUAUUCUUUCCCAGUUUUCCUCUGAGAAACAAAUGACAGUAGUUUCUGGAGGUUUGAGGGCAACAUCUUCCUGUGAUUGUUUGAUUUAUAUGAUCUUUGCUUCAAGUGGGGAACAGGAUUUAGGAUAGUGGUCCCAACUGGAGGUCACAGCCAGUAUUGGGAAUGCAAACUCCAAGGAGAUGGAGUUGCGGAAGAGAAGCCCACACACGUAAAGCACCUGUGGGAGUUGCGUGGGUUUCUGCCUGAGAACUUUGGGAAAUGAUAAUUCAGGAGGAAGGUUUGAUUUAUUUCGCUGUAUCUAAAAGCUUCAGAGGUGAAAGCGCAUUCAAAGAAAUGGGUGAAUGUAAAAGGACCUUGUUUCUUUGGUGUUGCAAAUUUGUGUGUUUGUCUUCCACAUUGGCUCGUUUUUUUAAUAACAGGGAGGUUAAUUGCUACUAGAAGUAAAAUGAGAAGAACACACAGUGCCUAUAGCAAACGGGAGCUUAUUAUCCCCGAUGCAGCUGAGUGUACAGACGUUUGGUAGCUGUCUAAUGGAACAUAUGUUGCAUUCUAAUCGGGUGAUGACUAGUUGCUCUCUGUCUGAAAUCAUUUUAAACAAAACCACUUUGUUACACUAGUCCCUGUGUGCUACUUCUUUCCCUUUUUUCAAUAAUUUUAACUUUUGUAACUGCUGGUUGCCAUCCUGGGUUGUGAGCAUGGUGGGUUCAUUCUUGAGGACCAGAUCAAGGACUCUGCAUGUGAAAACACUACAUUCUUCUGUGGUUUUUCAGCAACCUUGUUGGCUGGUUCUCAGCUUCUCCUUCAAUGAAGCACGGCUUCAUGCGUUUGUCUGCCUGUUACUGCUCACUACCUGUGUCUCUAGAGAUGGACUUUCUGAACUUCUUCCCAGGUUUAAUGUAACCCCCGUCUAUGCUAAGAUUCCAUUUUUAUGAUUUUUUUCCACAUUGUUUCUUCAUGUCUUCAGUCAUAUACCAUAACUACUUGUAUUUUGCAUCUUUGUCAGGUUUUUGAGUUUAUUUCAAGAAGAUGACAACACAGGUGGUAGCUGCUGUGUCUCUGAAUUCUGGGGGGUCUCUCAAGUUCUGUAUGUUUGAAAAUAAUGCAUAAUCUUUCACCCAACAGAAGAUGUUAUAAUUGUUUUGAGUACAAGAAUGAAAGUUCUUCACAGAAACAGGAGCCACAAUUCCUACCCCAAAUGUUGUGAUCUUUAGUUAUUCAUAAACUCUACCAUAUCUAUUUCCUUGCCCUAUUGUGUUCUUACAGUACUGAUGCUGUUAGCCAGAGAACUGUUGUGUAAUACUGAGAAAACUUCUGUUGGAACAAAAAAUAGUGAUUGUGAUCUUCAGCAGUGCCUGGGAAAUCAUUGAAAUCAGAUUAAAAUGAUCAUAAAAUA